GACGAACGCUGGCGGCGUGCCUAAUACAUGCAAGUAGAACGCACAGUUUAUACCGUAGCUUGCUACACCAUAAACUGUGAGUUGCGAACGGGUGAGUAACGCGUAGGUAACCUGCCUGGUAGCGGGGGAUAACUAUUGGAAACGAUAGCUAAUACCGCAUAAUAUUGAUUAUUGCAUGAUAAUUGAUUGAAAGAUGCUAUUGCAUCACUACCAGAUGGACCUGCGUUGUAUUAGCUAGUAGGUGAGGUAACGGCUCACCUAGGCGACGAUACAUAGCCGACCGGGGAGGGUGGUCGGCCCCACUGGGACUGAGACACGGCCCAGACUCCUACGGGAGGCAGCAGUAGGGAAUCUUCGGCAAUGGACGAAAGUCUGACCGAGCAACGCCGCGUGAGGGAAGAAGGUUUUCGGAUCGUAAAGCUCUGUUGUAAGAGAAGAACGGGUGUGAGAGUGGAAAGUUCACACUGUGACGGUAGCUUACCAGAAAGGGACGGCUAACUACGUG
rnacentral:rRNA from 1 species